rnacentral:rRNA from 1 species
GAGCCAGACUCCUACGGGAGGCAGCAGUGAGGAAUAUUGGUCAAUGGACGAGAGUCUGAACCAGCCAAGUAGCGUGAAGGAUGACUGCCCUAUGGGUUGUAAACUUCUUUUAUAUGGGAAUAAAGUGUUCCACGUGUGGGAUUUUGUAUGUACCAUAUGAAUAAGGAUCGGCUAACUCCGUGCCAGCAGCCGCGGUAAUACGGAGGAUGCGAGCGUUAUCCGGAUUUAUUGGGUUUAAAGGGUGCGCAGGCGGCGUGUCAAGUCAGCGGUAAAAUGUCGGGGCUCAACCCCGGCCGGCCGUUGAAACUGGCGUGCUCGAGUUGGAGAGAAGUAUGCGGAAUUCGUGGUGUAGCGGUGAAAUGCAUAGAUAUCACGCAGAACGCCGAUUGCGAAGGCAGCUUACCGGCGCUCAACUGACGCUGAGGCACGAAAGUGCGGGUAUCGAACAGGAUUAGAUACCCUAGUA